GUCAAGCUCCAGCCAUGCGCCGCGCUGGAGGACGCGCCGUCGAGCUUCAGGCUGUCCCGCGUCGACAGGCUCCCCUCCCGUGUGAACUGGAUCACUGCGGACUGCUGGUGCCCCUGUGUGAUUUGGUUGCUUCUACUACGCUUUCUGGAUCUUAUGAAGAAGGGUCCAUUUAAUGGAGUAGAGGUUGAAGCAUCAGGGAGCAAUGGACACAAGGUAGAUAAGCAUCCUAUGCUUGAAAGGAAAUCUAAAUCGAUACCUGAAGAUUGUAAACGGAAACAAGAAGCUCAGAUAAAGCCAAAGACACGGGGGUUCCAAGGCAGCUUGCGUUCUACGGAAGCCGGGAUCUGCUGAUCUACAGCCGGAGCGACGUCAGUAUGCUAUGCAGUUUGCAGCACUGUGCAUGUUGUGCCGACUCCUGAUGUGUACACAAAUUGCUCAACUUUAUCUCAUAGAUUUGUAGGCAAUUAUUUUGUCUCAACGUUGAGUUUGAUCUAUGCAGAAUUAGACAGGAACAAGGCAAACAGUGUAAAAUACUCUAUAUGCUGACGAGAAGCUACAUGUGGUUUAUUUGCACUUCACGUCUUCUGAAGGAUUAAUUGGUAUACUUUGGGAUCAAGUAGCACAAAGAUAGCACAGGCAGCACAAGGUGUGUAUUUACAAUCAGCUACACAAGGUGUGUAUUUACAGCCACAGCAGAUGCGAGUUAACAGUGUGAUGCAGAAAUUAACACUUGCACUUCAAUAGAUUAAUGACUUCUAAUUCUUGACGUUGUAUUUUUCUUCUGUAAGCUAUAAAGCAGGUGGUUUUUUUUUUGUUAUGUAUUGUGGUAGAUUGCACAAUCCAUGCUACUGCCCAAAU